UACGAAGGGUGCAAGCGUUAAUCGGAAUUACUGGGCGUAAAGCGUGCGUAGGUGGUUCGUUAAGUCUGAUGUGAAAGCCCUGGGCUCAACCUGGGAAUUGCAUUGGAUACUGGCGGGCUAGAGUAUGGUAGAGGAAGGUGGAAUUCCCGGUGUAGCAGUGAAAUGCGUAGAGAUCGGGAGGAACACCAGUGGCGAAGGCGGCCUUCUGGACCAAUACUGACGCUCAUGCACGAAAGCGUGGGGAGCAAACAGG
rnacentral:rRNA from 1 species